AAUCUGAUUUAUGAGCUUCCUUCUCUUUUCUCUCUCAUAAACCCUAAAAAUAAAAUCCCUAAAAAUUACCUAAUAGGAGCCGGCAGUCCGGCCACCGCCGCCGCCUCUCCCCCGCAUCCAAGUCGACCAGCCCUAGACCUCCAGCAACUGCCACCUACCGUCAGCAGAGAGUCGCCUCCCGCCGGUUAAAUGGAGAAGAAGGAUUAUAAAGUGAUUAAGUUUGAUACCCAGACUCAGAUGUAAAAAGGAUCGAUAGACUACUCAUGUCAACAACAAGGUGGAUGCUCUUUUUAUGGGAGUCCAUUUGCUAAGAACGUGCUCGAUGGGAAAUCAAUUUUAGGAUGGGUGAUUUCUUGGGAAGUUUUGUUGGGUGUGUACGAGUGAGGCUUAAUAGGUUGGCUAUGUAUUAAACAAGAACCAAACUAUAAACACAUGUUUUUAUUUUGAAGUUUCAAAUUCAAUUAAGUAAUGGAAUUGUUUUGUGAUUCUACAUAAUGCA